AGAGUUUGAUCCUGGCUCAGGAUGAACGCUGGCGGCGUGCCUAAUACAUGCAAGUCGAACGAGGUGCUUUUGUAGCAAUACGAGGGUAUCCUAGUGGCGAACGGGUGAGUAACGCGUUGGUGACCUGCCCCAAAGUGUGGGAUAACAGUCCGAAAGGAUUGCUAAUACCACAUGUGGUCCUCGGAUUUAGAAACCGAUGACUAAAGCAGCAAUGCGCUUUGGGAGGGACCUGCGUCCCAUCAGCUAGUUGGUGAGGUAACGGCCCACCAAGGCUACGACGGGUAGGGGACCUGAGAGGGUGGCCCCCCACAAUGGAACUGAAACACGGUCCAUACACCUACGGGUGGCAGCAGUAGGGAAUAUUGCACAAUGGGCGAAAGCCUGAUGCAGCAACGCCGCGUGAGCGAUGAAGGCCUUCGGGUCGUAAAGCUCUUUUCUGGGAGAUGAGAAAGGACAGUAUCCCAGGAAUAAGUCUCGGCUAACUACGUGCCAGCAGCCGCGGUAACACGUAGGAGGCGAGCGUUAUCCGGAUUCACUGGGCGUAAAGCGCGUGCAGGCGGUUCGGUAAGUUGGACGUGAAAUCUCCCGGCUCAACUGGGAGAGGUCGUUCAAUACUACCGAACUUGAGAGCGAUAGAGGAAAAUGGAAUUCCCGGUGUAGUGGUGAAAUGCGUAGAUAUCGGGAGGAACACCAGUGGCGAAAGCGAUUUUCUGGAUCGUUUCUGACGCUCAGACGCGAAAGCUAGGGUAGCAAACGGGAUUAGAGACCCCGGUAGUCCUAGCUGUAAACGAUGUGAACUUGGCGUUGGUGGCUUAAACUCCAUCCAGUGCCGAAGCU
rnacentral:rRNA from 1 species